GUGUAGUCCCAUGAGUGGUUUGUGAUUAAAGCUAGGAUGUUAGAAAGAAGUGAAUGCUAAGAUGGUAGAUGACUAAUGAUUGUUAUUGAUACUGUAAGUGAAACCUGAGUGUGAUGUGUAUUGUGUGUGCACCGAUAACGGGUGGCGUCUAGUGAAUGAGUUCAAGUACGAGUCUAAGUGUAAAGGAAAGUGAAUGAGAAUGAGAAUGGAUAAGUGAAAGUAAUGUGAAAGGAUAAGUGAAUGUAUAAGUGAAUAACGU
rnacentral:lncRNA from 1 species